rnacentral:rRNA from 1 species
GACAGAGGGUGCAAACGUUGUUCGGAAUUACUGGGCGUAAAGCGUGCGCAGGCGGUUCGUUGUGUCGGCGGUGAAAGCCCCGGGCUUAACCUGGGAAUGGCCGUUGAAACUGGCGAACUGGAGUGUGGCAGAGGGGGGUGGAAUUCCGCGUGUAGCAGUGAAAUGCGUAGAGAUGCGGAGGAACACCGAUGGCGAAGGCAGCCCCCUGGGCUGACACUGACGCUCAGGCACGAAAGCGUGGGGAGCAAACAGG